GCUGAACGCUCUCGGCGUGCCUAAUACAUGUAAGUCUAUUGAACGUACUAGACGCUUGCUUCUCUGUUGUUAGCGGCGCAAGGGUGAUUAACACGUGGCUAACCUACCUAUAAGACUGCGAUAACUUCGGGAAACCGGCGCUAAUACCUGAUCAUAUUUUGAACCGCAUGGUUCUAGAAUGAAAGACGGUCUUGCUGUCACUUAUAGAUGGACCCGCGCUGCAUUAACUAGUUGGUAACGUAAAGGCUUACCAAGGCAAUGAUGCAUAGCCGACCGAAGAGGGGAACAGGGCACACGCGAAGUAGGCAACGGUCCGGACUACUACGGGAGGCAACAGUAAGGAAUCUGCAGCAAUGGGCGAAAGCCUGACGGAGCAACGCCGCAUGAGUGAUGAAGGUCUUCGGAUCGUAAAACUCUGUUAUUAGGGAAGAACAUAUGUGUAAGUAACUGUGCACAUCUUGACGGUACCUAAUCAGAAAGCCACGGAUAACUACGUG
rnacentral:rRNA from 1 species